UACGAGUGCCCCGAGCGUUAUCCGGAAUCAUUGGGCGUAAAGAGCGUGUAGGCGGCCCGGUAAGUCCGCUGUGAAAGUCGGGGGCUCAACCCUCGAAUGCCGGUGGAUACUGUCGGGCUAGAGUGCGGAAGAGGCGAGUGGAAUUCCUGGUGUAGCGGUGAAAUGCGCAGAUAUCAGGAGGAACACCGAUUGCGAAGGCAGCUCGCUGGGACGUCACUGACGCUGAGACGCGAAAGCGUGGGGAGCAAACAGG
rnacentral:rRNA from 1 species